AACAGCAGAAGAUGCCAAAGCUUCAGAAUACCCCCUCUGUUGCUGUUUGCAGUGUUUCCAGGAUGUUCAGUUUCCUGUAUGUGUUAAAGUGUUUGUGGAGACUUCUCUCUUCUUUUUUUUUCUCUCAGGCUUGCUUACUUGCUUAUCAGUGCCCUUUAUACCUCAAGAACCUAAGGAGCAAGCUUUGGAGUAAAUGCAUGCUCUUUGCCUCAAGGCAGGAGAGUAAAGCAAAAAACAUUUCCAAAGGGGUGGCUCAUCAGUCCAAAGGUUUAUGAAGAUAGGAUUUUGGCUGACAAAACAGAUCAUGGACAGCAUAACAGCCACAGGGAGAUCAGUCAACGAUCCCCCAAAGAUGAAGAAUCAUUGGAGGAGAAAGAAUACAAAAGAAGGAGUUUGCAAAACAGCAAGGUUGCAUCUGCCUUGACCUCCAAGGUUGCUGACGUUGGACAUUCAAGCAAAGAACAUGAAAGUGGCAUUUACGUACCGGCCAGAUGCACUACUCACCUUAUGUAUAUUCCGGGGAAUUUGGGUAAUGUAUGUUGUAAUCAUAUUGCUUGCUUUGCCUGCAUUGCUCUUAUUUCCUACCGCUGUGUAUCCAUAAAAUGUAUCUAUUAUCAACCAGAGGACUUGCAGUCGGUCUGAAGGUUGUGCUUGCCCGAAGCAAGGUUUCAGGGCUGGGUUCUGAAUCUAGUGCCAAUAGAGGCUACUGAUGGAAUAAAUCUGCCAAGGAGUCUCAGGGAAAACUGUGUAGUCUGAAUGCAAGGAGUUGACAUCCAAAUUGCUUGUUUUUUUCCUUUCAGUGCACUGUUACUGACCUCACAUAGUGUGAAGUUGCACAUUACACUUAGACCAUUCUAAGGGCACUUAACAUGCAAGUGCCCACAUGGUAAAGCUUGUUAACUCAUGCUAAGCACUCUCUGAGUAUCUUAAAGUUAUGCCACUUCAGGUGAGAAUUAACUGUGCUGUGCUACCUAGCUUGUAUUAGGGUAACUUCAGACUGCUCUAUGGAGACAAAACAAGCAAUUUUCAGCUCUCCAACAUCCCAGGAUGCACUGAUCCCAGCCUCUGCACACCAAUGCCUCCUCCCUGCCCCCCUCCCCCCCCAACUGUUCCAGUCAGCCAAAGAGUCCAGGUAUCGUGGUUCCUAGCCAUACCCCUGCUCAGCUGCUGUCUCGUGGCAAGUCAGAGCUGUGCAGGCAAGAGACUGUUUUAUCCUUAACAUGCGACUGCUCACAUCACAUUCCAUCUUUAACACCAGUUAACAUUUCAGAUUUAGUAUGGUCUGUGACCAUGGUAAUUGCACCAUGGUUUGGAAGGUGCUGGCUUUAGGAUCCCAAAAUAUACUAAGCCAGAUCUCUCAUGAGGUCUUUAAGAGGGGGCUAGACAUGCACCUGGCUGGGGUCAUUUAACCCCAAUGCUUUUUCCUGCCCAGGGCAGGGGGUCAGAUUCAAUGAUCUACUGAGGUCCCUUCCAACCCAAACAUCUAUGAAUCUAUGUAGAUGCAGGCAUAGAGUGCCCCUGCAAACACAUCUUUUCUAUUUCACUCAGAAACACAACCCAUACCCAUCUUUCCUGGAGCUGCCCAGACCUCACGGCAUAUGAGUUCAUGCUUUGAGUAAAGAAUGGAUGGGAAAGGUAGGAGGAUUAAAAUUCUAGCACCCCUCCCUCCUCACAGAAAUAAGUUAAUAAAAAUAUAAAGAUGGUGGAGUAAGUGAGGGGAGAAUUUGAUCUGGUUUGCACGUCGCAUAGAAUUUAGGGAUAAACUGAAUGCUGAGUUGUUGUUGAGUUAAAUGUGAGUUAGCUACCAUAAAAUUGAUGGGUCACAUUCACUAGUCAACUCAUUAUGACACAGACCUAAAACUUGGCUUAACUGUGGUUUUCACCCACAAAGGGUUGCCACCUCUUCUUUUUGGCUCAUAUCAUAAGAUAUAUAGCUAAAUAUAACAUACUGUCUUCCUUCUAGAACACAUCCUGCUUCCUCUGUUUAGAUUACAACACUCUUGAUUUCUCAUUCAUACCAGAAAUAAUUGCAGUAAUUGCUCUGCUAUUCUUCUGGGAUUUUCUGAAUGUUUUCCUGAAACAAUGCUCAAUUACAGGCGAAGGUAUAAUAUCCCCUUAGGCAUCUUAACAAGUGAGUAGGAUAAAUAAUGUAUUAAAUAUUCUGUAGUCCUUGCAUAUUUGUUUCCAAGUGCUAUGUAUUCAUUAGAGAGGAAGGAUGCUUGCAUGGGACUAGAAAUGUUUGGGUUAAAUUCCUGUAUUGGCAAGGCAAUUUGUUUUUUUUUUCUUUUCCCAUAUGUCCAGAUUUAGUUCCACUUUUAAGCACCACUGUAUCUUAUGAUAAUAUUUUUACUGAUGUUCUGGCCUGAAUGCUUUUGAGUUUAUGCAUAGAUGAGGAACACAAGUGAGUAUAUCAACUGAAAAAAAAGAAAAGAAAAAGUACGGCUCACUAUUUCUGCAGGCCUUCAUUGAGCAGAGAAGCAAGCUUAUGAAGACCAGCCUGGGGGAUAGUAUGAAGGUGUAUGAUGCCAAGGUGCUGAGAAAGCCCAACUUCUACCUGUUGGGACAAGUGGGAACCUUGUGUCUUCUUAAAGAGAUUGUCAGUUAAUCAUCAUGUGCAUACUUGCCGAGCUAUGUAAUAGCAAUGGCCAUGUGCAGUCAAACCUAAACUUAGUGGGCAGUCAUCAACAUUAUGCAGCAUGAUGUGUGUUUCACUACAGCUACAGUCGUGAUUGUUACAAAGACCCCAGUGAUGGAGGUUGGCUGCACACACAUCUUGCCCUGUGUGAAAGCUAUUCAGCAAGUCCCACUGAUGGCAUGGUGGGUUGAAGCUAGGUGGGCAGACUGUAGGAUCUAUGAUAAGGAACUUGUUUAGUGGGCCUGUACUCUGAAUCUUACAACUUAACACUGAGGGUCUGUUGGUUGCCAAGUGAAGCCUAAUCAGUGUUCUUGCUCAAGAACAUGCUGUCGACAUUGUAUGUCUACAGGAGAUGCAAAUUCCAUCUGCUGAAGCUGGAUGCUACAUAAUUGGAGGAUUUGACUUGCUGCCUUACACUCCACAUCUGAAGCAUGGCUGAGUCACGUAUGUCCACUCUGACAUUACAGAUGCAGUCCAGCUGACAUCCACGGACCUUUGUGAUGCCAUCCAAGUUGGUGGUUUUUGGGUUGCAAAUGUCUGCAAACCUCCCAAAGUCAACCGGGACCAACAAAUUCUACCAACUCUGCCUUAUCCAGCCACCUACGUUGGAGACUUUAACAGCCACCAUACUGAGUGGGAUUACACAGAUGUAGAUGCCAAUGGUGAACAGCUUGCAAACUGGGCCUCACAAAAUGAUCUUGUUCUCAGUCAUGACCCUAAGCAGCAUGGCAUGUUCCACUCUUUUAAAUGAAACCAUGACUACUCUCCUGACUUGUGCUGGGUCAGUUCAGUCCAUGGUCACCCACAGUCAGCAUCUUGCCAGGUCUUGGACGACUUCCUGCUCAGUCAGCAUAAGCCGUCACUGGUUCACCUCAGACUCCAGCUCCCAAUGUAGCAAACCCCCCAGUUAUUUUUUUAAUUUUGAAAUGCAUUCCCUCCCUUCCCCAACUAUUUGACUUUUUCUCUCCCUCUCUAUUCCCUAUAGAUAAGUAUGAGUAAGUUAAGACAUAGGAUAAGUUUUAGCAUUUUUAUAGCAAGUUUUUUUUUUCUUUCUCCUUCUUUGAUCCACUGUUUUAUAUUAUAUAAUUAUUAUGUUUAUACUGUUUUACUGAUUUUUACUGUUUUUUCCAUUGAUACUAUAUGAUUUAGGCCUACACGUGUAAGUUAGCAUAAGUACGUCAAGUUUCCAUUUUGUAUGUCAAGUCUCCAACUUGUGUCCUUUGCCUGGGUGUAACCUAUGACUCAUGUCUAACCAGUUUCAUGUAAAUUGGUUCCUGAAUGAAUGGGGAUGAAUGAGGGUGCUUGAGAUACAAUGGUAGCAGGUCUCUACUGAAUAAUCAACUCAGUGACUGGACCAUUGCCUUCCAUUGACUCACCCAGGAACCACAGACCCAACAUUUGAAAUACAAAGACCCUACAGAAAUCAGCCAACCCACUAUUGCAACGCAGACACCUGGAACUGCACGUCCCCACCUGGAAUGCACAUGCUGGGGAACACCCUUCUCAACAACACAGUGACUGAAAGGGAUCUUGGAGUCAUUGUUGACUCCAGGAUGGACAUGGGCCACCAAUGUGAGGAAGCGGUCAGUAAGGCUAACCACACCUUGUCAUGCAUCUACAGAUGCAUCACAAGCAGGUGCAGGGAGGUGAUCCUUUCCCUCUAUGUGCCUCUGGUCAGGCCGCAGUUGGAGUACUGCAUCCAGUUCUGGGUGCUGCACUUCAAGAGGGAUGUGGCCAACUUUGAGAGGGUCCAGAGAAGGGCCACUCGUAUGGUCAGGGGGCAGCAGGCCAGGCCCUAUGAAGAUAGACUAAAGGGCCUGAAUCUAUUUAGCUUCCACAAGAGAAGACUGAUAGGGGAUCUGGUGACCAUCUCUAAACUCACUAGGGGGGACCAGCGGAAGAUAGGUGAGGCUCUGUUCCCCUGGGCACCACCGGGUUUAACAAGGAAUAACGGCCACAAAUUGAGAGCAGGUUCAGGUUUGAUAUCAGGAGGCAUUACUUUAUGGUUAGGGCUGCCAGGCUCUGGAAUGGGCUCCCAGUGGAGGUGGUGCUCUCCCCUACCUUGGGGGUCAUCAAGAGGAGGUUGGAUAGAUAUCUGACUUGGAUAUUAUGAUCCCAGCACUCGUUUCUGCCCAGGGCAAGGGGUCAGACUUGAUGAUUUGUUCAGGUCCCUUCCAACCCUAGAAACUAUGAAACUAUGCUCAGUACACCAGGGCUGACCCUUGCCUGGGGAUGUCCCUGCCACUAGGGUCAUAGAAGGUCUGCACCCAUAAAAAGGGUAGUGAAGACAAAUCCAAUGGGAUGCCCUCUCCAUCUGGAUCAGCACUACGCCAAGCCACCUAUCCACCCAGAGGUCUGGCGACCCCCUCUGGACAACAUGCUGCUGGAGAGGAUCCCAACUGGCCAUCAAGGAUCAGCUCACAGCCCAGGAUAGGUAGCUAUUACCCACCUUCCUUCCCCAAGCAAAGGACCUGGACUUUGUCCCUACACACCUUGACUUCAAUCCCUCUACCAAGCCUUUUUCUCUCCUGCUAUGAUUGUGCGGGUGUGUAUGUGAGUGCUUGUGUGUGUGUGUGUAGGAACCAAUAACUUCGUGGGGCUGUGUAGUGUGUUGUCUGUUUAAUAAACCUGUUAUUUUGAAACCCUGA